rnacentral:snRNA from 1 species
ACACUUAAUAAAUUUAACAAAA